UCGAGCGAGCGGGACUAACAGAUUUACUUCGGUAAUGACGUUAGGAAAGCGAGCGGCGGAUGGGUGAGUAACACGUGGGGAACCUGCCCCAUAGUCUGGGAUACCACUUGGAAACAGGUGCUAAUACCGGAUAAGAAAGCAGAUCGCAUGAUCAGCUUUUAAAAGGCGGCGUAAGCUGUCGCUAUGGGAUGGCCCCGCGGUGCAUUAGCUAGUUGGUAAGGUAAAGGCUUACCAAGGCGAUGAUGCAUAGCCGAGUUGAGAGACUGAUCGGCCACAUUGGGACUGAGACACGGCCCAAACUCCUACGGGAGGCAGCAGUAGGGAAUCUUCCACAAUGGACGCAAGUCUGAUGGAGCAACGCCGCGUGAGUGAAGAAGGUUUUCGGAUCGUAAAGCUCUGUUGUUGGUGAAGAAGGAUAGAGGUAGUAACUGGCCUUUAUUUGACGGUAAUCAACCAGAAAGUCACGGCUAACUACGUGCCAGCAGCCGCGGUAAUACGUAGGUGGCAAGCGUUGUCCGGAUUUAUUGGGCGUAAAGCGAGCGCAGGCGGAAGAAUAAGUCUGAUGUGAAAGCCCUCGGCUUAACCGAGGAACUGCAUCGGAAACUGUUUUUCUUGAGUGCAGAAGAGGAGAGUGGAACUCCAUGUGUAGCGGUGGAAUGCGUAGAUAUAUGGAAGAACACCAGUGGCGAAGGCGGCUCUCUGGUCUGCAACUGACGCUGAGGCUCGAAAGCAUGGGUAGUGAACAGGAUUAGAUACCCUGGUAGUCCAUGCCGUAAACGAUGAGUGCUAAGUGUUG
rnacentral:rRNA from 1 species